CAAAAUUUCAAAACCUGGCCACACACUUAUUUUCGGUAAAAAAAAAAAAAGUAAAUUAAAACAUAAACGCAAACAGGAGAGAGACUGAGAGAAAAUAGGAUCGAGUUUUUAGGGUUUCAUCAAAAUUUUGGCAAAUUUUAACGAUUUGGUAUGGAAUUCGCAAUUAGGCUCGAGAUUAAUCGAACUUUUUUGCCUGCGACAUUCUCUCUCACGUCGCUUGAUUGCUGUUUAUCGAGCAGGAGGGUUGAAUUGGGGCUUCGCAUAAUAAUUCGAACACGUAAAGAGGAUAAAUUCUACAUAAACCAUCUGUUGUUAUUCACGUUGACAAAGAUGGUCCAUGAAGAAUUUCUAUGAUGUUGAUGUUCAAGAAGCUGAACGUAGCUGGGACAUCCUGUUCUUUUCAGUGGAUGUGUGACUUCUUUCAUAUCAGCAGAUUGUUCUGAGAGUUAAUGCCACAAUUAUUCUCUCAGUUUUUUUUUUUCUGAUUAUAGUACGUAUCUGUGUUGUAUUUAUUUUCUGGUUCAUGGAAAUUGGAAAAAGCAAUGAUAUCAAUGAGAGGUAAAAAAUACAAAAAUAAUGAAAACUUCAUUUCAUAUACUAUGCACUACGUAUAAAAUGAGGUGAAACAGGAGUGAAUAUAUGAAAGAUCCCCGUUGUGAUAAGGAGAAUAUAUUAUGUGAAGCAUAGGUUUAUACCCUUCGCUUAUCUUUCAUUUAGAUGGCUGCCAUCCUGACAUGUUUAUAUCUUUAAGCUAUACCUUUUAAUUUACAAUGAGAGAAGGUUUAUACCCUUCGCUUAUCCUUCAUUUAGAUGGCUGCCAUCCUGACAUGUUUAUAUCUUUAAGCUAUAGAUUUUAAUUUACAGUGAGAGAAACUAACAGAAUAUUUUCUAUGAGGUAAGAUUGAGGUUUGAUAGUUAUUCAUUAGUUGAGUAAAGACCUUGUUAUCCUUUGUACUUUUGCUACAAGUCCAUAUCUUGGUUCCUGACUCUCAACUUCAUCCUUUCAUAUGCUUACCCCUGCUCAUAAUUGAAGGUCCAAUUUUGAUUUUUUAAAUGAACUACGAUCGUGGUUUUAUGAAGAAAAUAAAAUAUAUGCAUGCAUGUUAACUAUUAAUUUUUGAACAUUCCUAUUGAAGGUGCUAAAGUUACCGAGUAUUUUAUAGUAUUGAAGCUGCGAAUUCUUUUUAUCAUAAUAAGAGGCUUAAGUCAACAAUGUUUAACUUCAAAUAGUCAUAACUGGACCUUCUAUUUGGAAUGGAUGAAGCAGUAUACUAUCAUCUGCUUGGAUUCCUUAUGUAUGAACUUUCUUGAAAAUUGCUACUAUGUAGCAGGAACUGGUGGCUUAAUGAGUGUUCCGGUAGCAGGAAUUUCACCAGAGUCUGAGUAUGGUGAGCUAAAUGGAGAAUACAUGUAGAUCUAAAAAAUGAGACGGUGGAGGCUCUUGUUUGUUUUUGAGUUAUUUUGUAAUUUAUUGUAAUGUUGAAUUUGUUUAUAUGGAUUUUUAUUUUAUGCAUUUUUUCAUUAAAAACACUAAAUUAAUUAGUGAACGACUAUUUUGUAAUGCAUGUGUCCUAUGGGCACUAAUAUUGUAACAUUACUCUUUAAGUCAAUAAAAAUAUUUUAUUAUUGA